GGGCCCGUAGCUCAGGUGGAUAGAGCAUCUGCCUUCUAAGCAGAGGGUCGCGUGUUCGAAUCACGCCGGGCCUGCCA
rnacentral:tRNA from 1 species